rnacentral:lncRNA from 1 species
GGACCGGUUUUAGUUUUGUAUGGUAAACAUAAGGGUGUCUAUGGAAGUCUAGUGGAAAGGGAUACAGAGAAGGAAACAGGUGUGGUUAGGGAUGCUGAUUCACAUGAAUUGCUUAAUGUUCGCCUUGAGCAAAUUGCGGAGUAUAUUGGCGACCCAAGCUACGUAGGUUAUUAGUUGAUUCCUAGUAACGAGAUGCAACAUUUGCUUGAUUAGUAAUGUGCUUCCAAACUACAUUGGUUAUCAAUUGACUCGCAUCAUGAGAUGCAGCAUUUUCUUGAUUGAUACUGUGUUUCAAAGUUCAAGGUACUUUUUGCCAACAUUCUUUUGCUGUUUCCUUUGUUUCUAAGCGUGAGAGAGAAUUUUUAUGCACUUUCAACUAGAGUAAUGUUUAAUGCGAAUCUCAUCUUCAGCAUAAUUAUUGAAUGUUUAAAUUAGAAGUGGUUUGCUUAUGUAUUUUAUACUAAUUAGGAUUGUAGGCUUCAAAUAUAUUCCGUGUAAAGAUUAAGAAUUGUAUUUGCAUACAAAUGAUUUAAGUAUGGUUUGGGACUCAGUUGUUUUUUGUCUGAAACUGAAAUCUGUCUCUCUCUCGUAGAGAUAGGUAUAGCAGUUCUAGGUAGCUGUUUGCUUCACCAUGUGGAGUUCUACUUAGCUAACUUCAUCAUUUACCAUUUGUUAUAGUUAUUGAUCUUCUUUGGUGCUGCUUUAGAUCUCAGUUGGGGUUUAUCAAUUUGCAUUUGAAUGAUGGUAACAGCAAGGUGCAGGGUAUUGUUGGGAAAGAUCUCUCCAUUUAUUUAUUGAUUUUAAUAGCUUAAAUUUUGAGUUAAUGUUUUGUGGACGGCUGCUUUUUCACUGGUGGACUUGCAUAUGGGAACAACAAACCAGCUUGUUAGUUGUUGCUGUAUGAAUUAUGCUGUUUACUCUUUUUUCGUUGGAACUGGUGCAUUUUUGCUUUUGACAUUUUCUUUGGCCGUGAAUUUAGUUUGCGAUAAUAGUUACACUGAUCUGUAGCCUACAUGGUACUAUGGAUAUGAUGCUUUGUGACUUCAUUUUAAAGAAAUAAAUGCUUGCUUGUUGGUUCAUAUUUAGGUAAUGUUGGGGUUCUGUACAAUCAUCAAAAAGGUGGUCACUAAAUUUCUUGGGAUCUAGACUUUCUUAUGAGGAUCGUUAUGAAUGUAAUUACAAGUUAAGAUGCCAAAGGAGGAAUUUUUAUGUAAGGCUAGUAAUGUUUUUUUUUGUUGUGAUACUACAUCUGAAGCGAACUGAUUUGCUAAAGGGAAAAGGACGGUAAUUCUUGUCAUAUUUGGUUUGACUUUUGUGAACUAGACUAUGAUGGUUAUCUAUGGCAUACGCAAAUUGUUUCUUCCACCUUAUGUUACGUGGAAAUGUUUCCAUCAAUUUGUCUGUAAAGAGCCAGAUCCUUGCCCUGUUUGUAUCUGAAUUUUUGCUUGCAAUCCUUAAGGAGUGUGCUUUAUAUGCUGGGUAAUAACUUAAAAUUUCGGAAGAUAUGAUAAUGAAUCAGCUGUCUUCUUCUAGUUGAAGCUAGCAAGCAGUUUUCUAAUAACUAUUGCCUUUUACUGAUUGUAUAACAGACAUGUGGUUCGAUGAGACUGAAACAUUUAUAGAGAUUUGUAAGUUUUGUAGUUUCUUGGUGCUAAUUCUUGUUGCUUUUUAGCACUCCAAAUUCUGGAAUCUUGAUUUGAACCCAAAAUUUUUUUUUUGUUGGGGGGCCGGGGGGGGCGGGGGGGGAUUGGCAGGUGCAUGGGUUUGGGCAUGGAGAAUAGUGACAAAUAUGUAUUAGCUAAAAGACAAAAAAAAUUCAAGUGGAGAGAGUAAUCUUAGCUUUCAAAUGUUUAAAGAUACAGUGCGGGAACUAAAGCAGCAUGGCUAGAAAAUAUCCUCAAUGAGCUGCUUAAGUUUCUAAUGUUCAUUAUGCUAGUCCUUACUAUAAUGCUAGGGUCAGGGGAGGGUUAACAGAAUUUGUGACGCAGGAUCUUUAGGUUUCAGCAAUGAAAUUAGGUGUGGAUUACAUGCGAGCACACUGGAUCUUUUAGGUGUCUAUUAUGUGCAGAAAAUAGACUUAAGUGUUGGUACAAAAAUUAGAGAGGAAGAUGAGGAAGGAGAUGAAAAGGCAGAGAACUCAUGCAUUAUGUCAGAGAGCGAGAGAGAUAGAAAGGGAAGCAUCUUUUGAAAAUUGCUUCAUUUCAUUUCAAUCUGCCCUAAAGCUAUUACAACCUAUAUUCAUGUAUGGAACAUGACUUGGGGGGAGGAGAUCUUAGAAAGGACCAGAACUCAACAACUAAGAAAGCUAAAAGCUCAAAAACUAAAGGAAGCCAAUUUGGACUUUACUACUACUGCAGGUGGCCUCCAUUUCCAAAGACUUGCAGAGCUUCUAGCAAGAAGACUGGAUUUCUGAAUUUUGAAUCUGUCAAAAAAGACUUCUGCUAUGCACCCUAUGGCUUAUUUUAGCAUGAGCUGAAGUAUAAAAAACUCAUGAAAAUUGGAACGUAAACUGCUUUGACUUAUACAUCAAACUUCACAUCUAAAUGGAAAUACAUCAUGGAAGGCGGCUAGAGAACUUGAAAAUCUGUUAUUUUCUGAAAUUAUGAGAAUCUUUGUUCAGAUCUCUUCAUUCUGCGUCAGUUUGGUAUUUAAAAGCUGCUUUCACCAAUUAACCUGUUCUACUUGAAAGAGAUGCUGUUGUUGGACCAGCCAUUUUAGUGUGGAUAGGGAUUGUGUAGAUUUUACCUUGUCACUAGUUGUCCCUGCUGACAUUCAAUUGUUCAACACUUAUUCAUAUGGUCCCUUUUAACUGAACGUGCUACAGUUUUUGUUCCUGAAAUAGAAAGGUAAUGUCUGAGCAUAAGAGGUGACGAUAGCACUUUGGCGAAUAAUUGAUUAUUUGAGCUAUUUGAUUAUCUUUGGGCAUUUAGUCGGGUUUAUUGAUUCAUCUAAAUUGUUUAUCAUUUGAUUUAAAUUUCUCUUACGUUCUUGCUCCUGAAAUGUGUGCGACCUUAAACUAGACUGACAAAACUUUUAGUUUAAAAUGACUUAAGGAUCAGUUGUUGCAUACCUUCUAAAAUUAGCUUGGUCUAUUAGAAGGCUGAGAUUUAUCUCUUUUGACAGAAUAUUGACCAGCCAAAACAGAAUUGCCUUUUUGAGUUUUGAUAAUUUGGUCUGCAUCAUGUUGACCAGGUCCCAGCUACCUUUUUCUUAUUAUUUUGGGCUUAUUUUAAGGAUAUGAUGAGAAACCAAUAGCAUUUGAUUUUAGUGUUUUCAAUGGAAUUUUACCUCAUGUUGCAAUUAAAGAAUAAUGAUAAAAGAAAAAGGAAAAAAAGAAAAAUCUUCUGGCAUCAGUCGUUAACUUCUCAAUGCUUCCAACCCAACCCCCCCCCCUCCCCACCUCUCGGGUAGAUACAGAUCAUGUUAUCUGGAAUCUUCACUUUCCUUGUCAUACCCAUGUCCAUUCCUUCAUUUUGCACUAGUCUGUUGGUGCGGGACCCCUUAGGUGAGUCCAUGUAACAUAGGAAACAGCAAAUGUUUAGCUUCUAUUGUUAUUUCCAGCAAUAAGCAACUAAACUGUACUGCCUUUUUCUUGGUAGUCCAUUAUUUUUUUGAGGUCUUAGUUCUUUCUGUAUUCUAGCUUAUCUCUCUUCUUUGAGAAAGAGGAACUCCAGCGUACAGCUGAUGCUGCAAAUGGUUACGUCAUCAUUGGACCUCUUUAAAAUAUGUAUUACAUGGUAACAUGCUUCACCUUUUAAACAAAUCCAGAUUUAUUUUUGAUCCAAGUUGAUGGACUUGUGGAGUUUCAGAUCAGUAACUUUUUUUACUUGUACAUUCUAAUUAUCAUGCCUAAUCAUUAUGGAAUGAGUGAGUGAGGGCAGGAGGAGGUUGUUCUAGUAUUCUGUUUUACAUACUCUGCAGAUGUCUUUUGUUCAGAUUUUCGAAGUAUCUUUAAAGUAUUUCAAAACCUUGAAUUAAUAUUAAAGGUUUUCUACCCAUGAAUGGUUAAGGUGCACAAGUCAAUCAACAGUAAUUCCUUCCGAGCCACUGGCAGCGGACUGUAGGAUUGUAGCAGGAAAUCUGAUGCAUGUUUUUGUUUCUUCUGCUGUUAAAAAUUAUUUAAGUUCAGUAAGACUUUAAGGUGUAUCAGAGUACUAGGGAAGGUGAAAUUGCACCUGCAAAAGUUUAUUUCAGGCCUCCUUUUAUGAGUGGGGCUAUCCACUUCUCUCAUGGGUCCUAAUUCAUUUAUGGUUAGUUUUGGCAUGUUAAAAAGUUUUUUCUCCUUGUGUCAUUUUGUUUUGAGUGGUUAUAUACCUGAAUUUGCUUCGGCGAGGUACUUGUAGAUUGUAGUUGUAGUGCCUUUUUUUCUGUUGAAAAGGUAGAUAACUUUGGUGACUGAUAUUGUCAAGAUGUGUAAUACUAGUGUAUCUGGCCAAAAAUGCUAGAACACGUUGAAUUUCUAAGGUGGUUUAUUAUUGUGAUCCUUUUGCAAUUAAGAACACAUACUGGCCUAACAUUCUCUGCAAUUUGUGUUAACAAUUGUUAGGCCAGUGGCAGGGGAAAAGACUGUUGAGCUUGAGAUUUAAAGUGGACAGAAUGGUAGCUCAAGCAUUAUAAAACAAUCAAAAUGCACCAAAUCAAGCCAGUUUGGAGUUCAAACUCAGCAAGCUGAAAGAGAAAAUUGCUUCCAGUGAUUCAAGGAUAAUCCCUCACUCUGUCUCCAUCGUACAGCUACCACCAAAUCAGUCGAACAUGUGAGUUGGUCCUUUACUGAGGCUUAAUUAGUAGACCAUCUAUUGGUGAAAGGCAUUGGAUAAGAUCCUUGUACUUUAUAACAUUUUGCCAAAGCUAAAUCAGCCAUUUAAGAUGAAAGAAAUGAACAUCCUUAUUAAUGGUUUUGGGAAUGAUUACCUUUUUUUUUUUUUUUCCUUUUGCAUGGACUACAAAGUUUUAGCAUGUAAAAGUGUGCCCCUUGGCGCGAUGUAUGAGGAUAGCCAGACGCAUGUUUGGAGUGUUGUAGCAGUUGGGCUGCUAUGCAUAAGUGAAAGGGUGUUGAAGACAAUAAAAGAUGCUGAGCAAUUUAGCUGUGAUGAGAAGGAUUAGUAGAUUGAAUGGCAGUUUAAAUUUUGGGGGUAUUCUAUGUAGGAUUAUGCAAACGAACUUAAAUGCAUCAUGCAUUGAUUAAUCGAGAGGACUAUCAUUCAAAUGUAGGUGUAAUAGCUAUAUAUCAAACACAAAGUAUACGCUGUGGCCACAACCAAUCAAGAAAUAACCUGUAAAUUCACCCUCAAAAAAAAAAAAAAAAACCUGUAAAUUCUACCCUUUUUUUAUAAAUAUGAUUUUAUACAAUUGUCUCCACAUGAGAAGGUACACGCAUAUUUAGCCCAAUCCUAGCCAUGUCCUAGUUUCUUCACAAGUAACUCAAUUUUAAGCCAUUAAUAGUGGCGUGGAGCCCUGCAACAGCAUUUACCCCUUCUUUCUGACAUUUCAAAGCACAAAAAUUAGUGGUAACGAACAUGAAGGUUGGUGGAAUUAGAGGUGAAACCAUAUCCAACGUGGUUACAUGCUUAAUUCAAUUGACAAAUGCAAAGGUAGCAAAAAUUAAAUCAUUACAAUGCAGGGAUUAUUGAUCUAAAUAAUUCGAAAAGGUUGAAAUGAAAAUGCACAAAGUAAAAUCCAAAUUAAGGUAAUCCAAGUACCAUCAUGAACUGAAAUAGCUAAUAAAUUGCGACCAGUCACAUAUAUGAUUAGGAUCUCCAUGAUACCGAGUCUUCCAUUGUUGCCUGGACCCAAACCAAGAGAGAAAAGUGGACAAUCCGGGACAUGAUUAAUUAAUUAUAUUUACAAAUAAGCAGCAUAAUCACUAUAUAAUUCGAAAACCAAAAUUUUUUUGGCCAAUUAUUAGUCAAUCACUCUGAUGAAUGAUGAUGAUGGAGAUGCGACGAUAAUAAUCUACAAGCUAUCUGGUUACGUCAAUUGAUCUUGUACAAUGAAAUGGAAACCAAAUAAAAACAUGAAGAAUUUACAAUUCAUAAAAUUAGUGAAGGAGGAUUUUUUUUCUGUUCGGGGGGAGGGGGGGGGAGGGGGAGGGGAGGGGAGGGAUAAGGGGCUGCAUUUGUGUUAUAUAUGUAGAAAGCCACGUUAGAGACAACACAUGUAUUUAGUUCAGAAGGGAAAUCUACCUGCUUUGCAAAUCGGGGUUACAAGAAGAAAAACAAGAGUAAUAGAGAGGCAAAUCUCCACUUGUAUAAGAACAAAAGCACAGGUUAGUUUGGCAACCAAACAAAUGAAGUAAACUUUUGGAAAUAACAUCACAUCAUAUAUUGAAAGAUACCAUGAGCUGUUAAGAAAAAGCUUUCAUAAGAUACCUCUGUGGGGAGAUUUUUGACUGGAUCAUCUGGUUCAAGGAUCUACUAACGGUCAUUGUCUUGGUAACAUUAUGAUGUCAUUUGAUAUUUUAGUUGAUUGUUAUUUGACAAAAACUUUCCUCACUAUAGUUUCUCAAAGUAACUCUAAAGUCCACAUAUACUGGAAGGGAGCAGUUGAAACAGUAUUAGACUCAUGUACUAGGUACCUUGACAUAUGUGGCUACUUGCAGACCAAUGCUCAGGAUAAAGGUUAGACAAGCACAAGCUUGCAUUCAUUAGUUGGCAAAAACUGGAAUUAAGAGUUUAAACAUGUUGUGAUGAUUGCUGAAAGGGUUACUAAGAGUCUAUGCUGCAAAACCCAGGGACAAUGCUGCUUGCUGAAAUAAUAUGUCUCGAUUUCUUCAAGAAUGUGAUAGAAAAUAUGUCCAAAUCCUUGUAAGGCUCCAUGAUUUGCUUAACAAGUUAUGGCUCCAUGAUUAAAUUGACCAAGAAAAUAUGUCCAAAUUUGCUUACUAUGCCUGUGGCAUCGAAGACAUUGGACAAUGCUACUUUUGUCAGUGGUUCAUAUUAUGCUUUUGGAUGAUGAUGAAAACUUGUCAAAAGGGCUUUUUUUUUUUUUAACUCUAUUGUCCAGAAUGAUGAAAAAAUUGUAAGAGCCUUAGAAAUUAGACUUGCUUGGACUUUUUGACUGUUUUCUAGACUUAUAUGAGUUUUUAUAUAUUGUUCUUUAUUAGUUCUAAUAUUUAGACAAUUGGACAUGUAACUUGGAUAACUAUAAUGUUGCUCUUGUGUUUGUUGUGGUUUUUGCAUUUGUUGUUCUAUUGGAUUUUGUUUAAUUUCAGAAGUUCCAAUGGCUUUUAUUUAAUUUCAAAAUAUGGUAAUGAUUUGUGUAGGAUUUAAGGUUUUUCUCUCAUAAGGUACAAUUGAGAUGAAUUUAUUUGUUUGGAUUUAUAGUGCUAAAAAUUUAUGUAUGUUUGGAAAUAUUUAACUUUUUAUCAGGUGAUAUCUAUGGGAUGUCUUUGGCCCUAUUUGAUAACCCAAUUCAAUACUUAGACUUAAUGGAUUCAGAUCUUAAUAUGUUUAAACAUGUCUGAUAACCAGAACUUGAACAUUUGAAUUAAUUAAGUGACACUGAAUUUUUUAAGCAAAACUUGCUCCAAAAAAUAAGUGAUAAGCUAUUCACUUAUCUUUGAAUGUAAUAUACACUCAAACGUAUCUGAUUUAAUAUUUAACAAUUUAAUAAUUUAAUAGAUUCAAACUUCAAAUUUCAGAUUUCAGUUUUAUGAAACGCACCCUUAGUCGGGGUUGAACCAGUUCAAUCGGUUGAAUUUCGAUCCGAUCACUUCACGGGUUCAAUGAAUGGUCCUGAGUUUCAAAACAUUGAUUAGAACAGCAUUCCUUGAGCCAACUUAGAAAUUUAGAUUGUUGAGCUCUGUUUGACCAAGUUGGCUUUAAAGAAUUCCGUAAAGUUUGUGCUAGAGGACAAUUCCUCAAAACAUGAUCUAGGUUUUUAGUCUAAUUGUUACAAAUAGUACAAUUGUUGUCAGGUAAAAGGUUUUUUUGUCAAGGAGGUAUAUGGUGGCUUCUCUAUCAUAUACAGGCACAGCUAGACAAAUGAAGUGCUUAAUUUUGUUAGGGGCCUUCACUUUUCAAAUCUAGUUAAAAGAGUUUAUGGUUGGGAAGAAGGAUAAGUGCCAGAAAGAAUUCUAGCUAAAUCAUAGGCAGGUUUUUUUUAUAUAUAUAUAGAAUCUACCAUAUGAGGUGGGGCUCCAUUCAAGGCUAUCUAAAAAAGUGGGAGUAGUGGGACGUGGGAGUCGCAAAGAUUUUGUUAGUGAUCUCAGGUGGUAAUGAGAAAGAUAGAUUGCUCGGAUUCCAUCCUCCCUUUCCUUCGAAAAGAUCAUCAGCCAGAAUCUGAUCUUUAUUUUGUAGUAGAGCUUCUUGAAUUUGGGAUCUAAGGUUGACAAUGAGAACCAGUUAUUGCUCCAAGUAUUUAGUAAUUUCCCAUCUCUAAUGUUCCAUUCUAUCUUAGGAGCAAUAAUGUCCCUUCCUGUUUUAAGGUUGUUAAGAUUGAUUGAACCUUGAGAAGUGGAGAGUUCAAGUUUUUUAUGGGUGACCCAAAAUUUUUUUUUAUCAAAAAGGAUUUUGACCCAGGGUUUGGGUUAGGGAUGGCAAUAGGGGCGGGUGCCCGCGGGGGGCUCUCGGGGCGGGGGUUGGGGCGGGGGCGGGGGGGAAUUUUUUCCCCCGUUCCACCCCGAAAAAAAAUUAUAUAUAUAUAUAUAUAAUUAUAUAUAAUAUGUAAUUUAAUUAGUUAUAAACUUAUGAUAAUGAUAUUAUUAGUUAGAUGUAUUAUAUAAUGUAUAUUAGUGUAUGUAAUAUAAUUGAUAUUAUCAAUUAUACGAAUAAUUAGACAUGUCUACUAAUAGAAUUUAUUAAUUAGUUAUACUAAAUUUACUAAUACAUUUAUACGAAAUUUCUAAUUACACUUAAUAGAAUAACACUUUUUCUCAAAAAAAAAAACACAAACACAAUAAUGAAUUAGUGAUUGUAUUUGUACCAAAAGUGAAAACUUAACUAUUUUAGUUGUAUUUAUUUCAUCAUGUUGGAUUGUAUUCAAAUAACUUUUGUUUGAUUGUUUUUAUGAGUUUCAAUUAUAAAAUUAAAAUGAAUAAUAACUUGAUGAUGUUUUGAUAUUUUAGUACUUGAUUAUUUAUUAAAAUUUAAUUAUAAUAAAAUUUUAUUAACCCCGCGGGUGCCCCGCCGGGGAAGCGGGGCGGGGCAGGGGGAGUGGGAGGCGGGGGACGGGGCGGGGGCAGGGGGAGUUUGCAUCCCCCGCCCCAACCCCGCCCCGUUGCCAUCCCUAGUUUGGGUUGGUCUUUUAGAAUCUGCCAUCCUAAUUUUGCAAAACUUGCUUUGUUAAUUAAAAUAGAUUGUUUGACAUAAUCCCUCUUAGAUUUAUCAAGAGUGACAGUGUUCCACUUAACAAGGUGGAUUUUUCUCUUGAUUCAAGUGGAAAUCCAAAGAAAAUUUCUUUGUUCACUGUCAAAUGCCUCACAAUUCAUUUUACGGAUAGGAGUUGCUUAAAAGAAGAAAUUAGGGAUAGCUGAAUUACAAUAAUGUUGGAUGAUUGAUUUUCUGACUGCUAGCGAAAGAAACUUUGCCUUCCAUCCUUGAAGUCUUUUUCCACUUUUUCUAGGAGGAACUAAAAAGUUUUAGUGGGGGCUAUAGACAAAGGAAUUUUAUUUAAUUUAUUUAGUCAAGAUUAAAUAAAUUGAGCCAAUCUUGGGUAAAUAAAAUAAAAUAAAUUAAAUUAAAUUAUAGAAGUUGAACUUACAAAUUGGGCCAUUAUCAUAUGGGCCGUUGGUUCAAACCAAAUUUGUAUUGUCCGUUUAAAUUGAAGUGGAGUAAUUGAUUUAUUAAUUCACAAUUAACUAUUUGAGGCAACCUACUAUUAAAGCCCAAGUUAAAUUGAUUUCUCGAGUUACAAGUUACCCAAUUGCAGAAAAGAUUCUCAAGAGCUUUCUUGAAGACCUAAUCUAGAUAUUUUGGCUAUAAAUAUAGGUCUUUCUUUAAAGCAAAGGACACAUUGAAAUCCUCAAAUUUUAGAGAAACUCUGCCAAUUUUUUUAAAAUCCUUAAAUUUCAAAGGAUAUUUUGUGAUUCCUCGAUUCAAUAUGGCUGCGAAUAAAUGGCAUCUAAUUACGUCCCACAAAUUGAUUUUCCAUGCAACAAUUUUGGAUCUAUUUGGAUAUGGAUUUUUUUCUAAAUAUUAUUUAACUUGUACCAUAAACAUUUUUUAACUACUUUUUUUUAUUAUGUCAUGUAUAUUGUAUCACAAAAAGUGUUGUGUUACUCCAAAUAAUCUCCUAUCCAAAACCUACCAUUUCAGUUCCCUCAUCUCAAUCUUGGCAAUGUAAUUUACUUUCCGUAUAACUCACUUUGCUUUCUUCUUCUCAUUUUUCUAUUUUCAUUUCUUCCAAAUUCCUUGACUUAAAUCAUUGUCACUAAACAAUGACCAAAACAUAACAAUCAAUAUUAAAAUAAUAGAUAUUUUGAUUUUUAGUUUUGUUUUUAAUAAGGGAAAGGUAAUAUUUAAAAAAAUAGGAAAAGGGAGAAGAAUUUGAAUCUAAUUGCUCAAAAGGGUACUUCUAUUCAAGAGGAUGAAAUGUUAAUAGAUAUUUUCUCUUGACAAGAUGUUAGUUGUAUGUUGACCUUCUUAUAUCUUUUAACUUUUAGUUGUAGUGAAUUGCUCUUCAAUUUUUCGGUUAUGAUUUUUAAAUGCUUGUAUAUUUUGAUUACCAUGAUAAAUAUACUAGUACAACUAAAUAGUAUAAUGCAUAAAAUUUGUUUAAUAUAAUUUUGAUUAUCUAUACUUAUUCUUUUUAAUCCUAAAAAUUACUUAUCACGUCACAGAUUAAUCACAAUUAACCAACUAGGAAUAGCACUUUUUUUGUCCAACUGCUGUUUCAUUGAUGUUUGACUUUUGCUUUAUUAUAGACUUUUGCUUAAAUCAGUGAUCGUUGACCCAAUGUUUCCCUGAGGCUGUACAGAGCCCCGCCCAAAGAUGCAAAGGAAUUUAGCACAGCAAGAUUCGAACCGGUGACCUACGAGAUACUACCGCAUGUGGUCACCAGCUGAGCUCCCUGUUGGGGGCGUAUUAUAGCGUGUUUAUUUGACCAUCAUAAAUUUAGUACUGAUAGCAACUUCUUUUUUGUGUUUUUGGGAGAUUAUUAUUGAUGGUAUUUUCACUGCCAGUCAAUCAAGAUAGCAGAUUUGUGGGCAUGAAAAAGGUACUGAAGGACAGGGAUCUCUUGCUAAGGGUGAUUUAGAUUUUAAACAAAAGAUCAAAUCGCAAAAAAAUAUGUUGUGAUUCGUAGUUAUUAUUAAGACGUAACUGUACAUGAGCUACUGGAAAGUAAAAAAAUCUAUGCUUCCCAUUGCAAAAAUGCUAAGAAAAAGAUGGUCAACUAGAUUACGGAGAAGUAUGAGAUUAGUACAUUUGUUGGUGCUUAUGAAAAGAAAAGAAGUAUAUCUGGUGGCAUAUUCUUUAAGAAAGUUGAAUGGAUGUGAAAUGUUUGCAUGCAUAGCUUUUUACUUCACUUGGGAUGAGCCAUGCUCGAAUGUUUUCACAGGGAUGAUAUAUCUGAUAAUGUCUCUGACUCAACUUGCGUGCAAAAAAUGGCUGUUUUGAUUUAUUCCUUAGAUUUAAGUUUACUUAUAUAUCCAUUUCAGGAUUUCUUUUUUUUUUUUUAAUUUGUUUUUUUUUUUAAUUCUUUUUAAAUAACAUUAGGUUCUGUUGGUGUUUCUAAACUUGCAGUUGAGAUACUGGUGCUUUCAAUCACAUUAUUGAUAGAGGAAGCCGUGCUAUUAAUUUUAUUCUGUUGUACAUGGUAUUUAAUUUGAGACCGACUAUAUUAGAGGUAUUGACUUCAUCCCUUUUGUUUCUGUAGACCAUUGGCCUUUAAAUUUUAGCUAUUUUUGUAAACGAUUUAAGUUUCCGUUGCUUAGGGGUAGACUUUUCACUUGUAUUAGCAUUAGAUUGGUUUCAUUUCUCUGUUUCUGAGGUGGCAUUUGGUAAGAGGGUUUCGAAAUGAAAAAUUGAAAUAAACCCCAUAAUUGUUAUUCACUUAGUUGAAUUACUACUAUCAAAAUCGAGAUUUUGGAAUCAUAUUUAAAAAUUUGGAGUUUCCUAAUUCUUUACUAAUCUGGAGGGUUUUGGACAAAACCCGCGUCUGAUUCUCGUUUAAAAAUAGAGCCCGUCCCGCCAUCAGUUAAAAAAAUUAAUAUAUAAUUAUAUACAUGAAGCAUUCAGAUUUCCAUGGCAUCAAGUAUUCUUGCCUACACAUUCAGAGCACCAUUUGCAUGGAUCACUUUCCUCCUUUGCAGCAACAUAUGCUGUUUACACUGUUGAGGGUGGCACAGCCAGUCUCUUUAACACUUUUUUUUUUUUUGGUCAAUUGUCAAUCCUACUCCUAUUCUAUCUACGGGAAGGCUCAAUUGAGCCUAUGAGAUCGAUAGGGACAGAACCACCACCGGACCAGACGGGUGCACUACGCACUCGUCUGGAUUUGAAGCAGAGCCACAAGAGUGGCAUUUUGGUGGGCCCUUGCCUCCCACCCCACCAAAGCCUUAAGGGCUUGGUGGUGGCCACCAGCCCAAGAGCUGGUGGUUAGUCUCUUUAACACUUAAACUAUCCAAAUAGUCAAAAAUGUCUUGUCACAAAAUAAUAUAGCAUGCCUUUUAUUAUGAAAGUACCUAUAUAUUCUUUUGUUGUUUUGGAUUCAAAAGAAAUUCAAUUUGUUUCGUGUGAAUUUCCAAAAAACAAUUUUGAAUAAGUUUUAACUAAUUUGGAUAUUUCGUUAUUUGUAGGGAGAUAGAUUGGAAAAGGAAAUUAGACAAGAUUUGUUGGGUUGGUGACGAGCGCUCGUCUUGAAAUGCCAUUUGAAAUGGUGUUAAUUACUUUUCUUUGCUUUUUGACUUUAAAUUACCCAUCUACUUCUCAUGCAACUCUAAAAGUGCUCUAAAACGUAGUCUAAAUUUUUUGAAUAUUUAAAAAUAUCUCAAAUAUAUAUUUUAAAAACUCUAUUAUUCUUAAAUAUUUCAAAAUAUUUUUUAAAAAUAUCCCAAAAUAUACUCUAAAAACUCUGCUACAGUAAAAAUUUUCAAAAACACUCCCCAAAAACAGCUAAUCCAAACGGAGCCCUUUGUCAUUGUAAAAUUAUUUGCUAUACUUUAUCAGAACUUGCUGUAUAAAUAAGGUUGUAAACUCAAGAUAAUGAAUUUUUAUUAUAAUUGACAAGAAUACAUAAAAUAAAUACAGUUCUCUCACACGUUAAAUCUAAUCACUAUCAUACAAGUAGAAGUCAUAUAUUUUUUUCCAACAAACGAAAUUAGUAUUUUUAUAUAUUAACACUUGAUAGUACAAGAAUUAGUUACAAAAAGGACCAACUGCUCUCAUAUCUUUCCUAGCAAUAUCCAUCAGCCAUACAGGGAACUCAUUGUCCCAUUCUAUUUUAUGUACUAACUUGAGUGCAUUUUGAGCUUGGUGUAUAGCUGCACAAAUUACCUGCUCCAUGCACAAAGGAGAAGUUGCAGUGUUCAAAAUAGCAAACUACACAAUUAAUAGCAAACUAAACAAUUAGUGCCCCGAGAAACUAAUUUUUAAUUCAAUAUUAUUGCUCGGAAUUGUAUUUAUACGUUAACGUCCUCUAUUCCACAUGACUCUUAAUAAUAGUAAUAUAUUUUUCUUUUUAGAAAAUAAUACAAUCAUAGUCGGUGUAAUUGGGCAUACCAAGAAGAAAGCACAUCCGCCAAGCGGCUGCUGCUGCUCCAAUUCUCUCUUUUAUUCCCUCCUCUCACUCUUGAGUCUUGAUUAGCCAAGAAAAUACCUAAAUUGUUUAAACCCUAUAUAAUUGCAGGCAAAAUUACUGCUCCAAUUUCAUUGGAGAGUCAUCGGCGGGUAGUCCUCGCCUUUAUUUGCAGGUUUUCUGGCAGCCUCGACCUGGGGGUUUUUGCGGGAUCGGAGAUUUUAGUUUAGAAUCUUCUUUCAUUCUUUGCUAAGAUGAAGCUCUCUUUCUCCCUCUCCUCAAAGCCCCAAAAUUCAACCCUCAAGAAACCCUCUGCCGCCGCCACCGACGCCGAAGAGUCAAAGGAAUUCGUUACCGAAUUCGACUCCUCCAAGGCCCCAACCGCCAAAAACCGGGAUAAUCGGGUAAUUCCUCCUAAGCCCAACGAAUGGAGGCCGACUAAGAAGAUGAAGAACCUCGAGCUCCCACUCCAAUCUGAUGCUCAAGAGCAACCGAUGCUCCAAUUUGAAGCUGUUGAAUCUGGCUCGUCUGACCCUACAUCUGAGGGUAUGUCCUACGGCCUUAAUCUGCGUAAUUCGGGUAAUGAGGCCGGAGCGAACCCACAGGAAUUUCCUGGUUCGGCAUCUAACGAGGACCCUGUGUUGCAUAAAUUGAGGGAGGAUUUGAAGAGGUUACCGGAGGAUGCUGGGUUUGAGGAGUUUGAGGAUAUGCCCGUUGAGGGAUUUGGUCGGGCGUUGUUAGGUGGGUAUGGUUGGGUUGAAGGCAAGGGUAUCGGAAAGAAUGCGAAAAAGGAUGUGGACAUAGUGGUGUUAAAGAAACGAACUGGUAAGGAAGGGUUAGGGUUUACUGGUGGAUUACCGGAAUUACCAGCUGAAGCCAAUCGUGAAAAUGGUGGUGGGACUAAUAAUAGUAGGAGGAAAGGAAGUGACAGAGAUGGUAAGGAGAAGGGAAGGGAAGAAAAGGACUUUUAUGUGGGGAAAGAAGUGAGGAUUGUGGGUGGAAGGGAAGUUGGGAUGAAAGGUAGGAUACUUGAGGUGAAACACGGUGGGGAAGUUGCGAUUUUGAGGCUUUUUAAGAGUGAGGAGGAUGUAAGUGUUUGUGUUAGUGAUUUGGCCGAUUUGGGAUCAGUUGAGGAGGAGAGGUGUUUGAGAAAGCUGAAGGAGUUGAGGAUUAGAGAGAAAAGUGAUGUUAGUGAUAAGAAAAUUGGCAGAGGUAGGGAUAAAGAUUUGGUGAGCAGUUGGACGGAUUGUAGAGAUAGAGAAAUGAAAGAUAGGAAGAAGGAUGGUAAGAGGGGAAGGGGGGAGAUUAAGGGUAGCGAUAAGUUAUCCUGGUUGACUAACCAUAUCAGAGUUAGGAUUAUAAGCAAGAAUUUAAAAGGUGGAAGAUUGUACCUGAAAAAAGGGGAGGUCGUGGAUGUGGUUGGGCCAACAACUUGUGACAUAUCCAUGGAUGAGAACAGGGAGUUGAUACAGGAGGUGGAUCAGGAGCUACUGGAGACAGCACUUCCAAGGCGUGGAGGACCGGUUUUAGUUUUGUAUGGUAAACAUAAGGGUGUCUAUGGAAGCCUAGUGGAAAGGGAUACAGAGAAGGAAACAGGUGUGGUUAGGGAUGCUGAUUCACAUGAAUUGCUUAAUGUUCACCUUGAGCAAAUUGCAGAGUAUAUUGGGGAUCCAAGCUACAUAGGUUAUUAGUUGAUUCCUAGUAAUGAGAUGCAGCAUUUCUCGAUUGAUACUGUGUUUCAAAGUUCAAGGUACUUUUUGCCAAUAUUCUUUUGCUGUUUCCUUUGUUUUUAAGUGUGAGUGAG